UACGUAGGAGGCGAGCGUUGUCCGGAGUUACUGGGCGUAAAGCGUGCGCAGGCGGUUUUGUAAGACUGUCGUGAAAUCCCCGGGCUUAACCUGGGAAUGGCGAUGGUGACUGCAAGGCUAGAGUUUGGCAGAGGGGGGUAGAAUUCCACGUGUAGCAGUGAAAUGCGUAGAGAUGUGGAGGAACACCGAUGGCGAAGGCAGCCCCCUGGGUCAAAACUGACGCUCAUGCACGAAAGCGUGGGGAGCAAACAGG
rnacentral:rRNA from 1 species